CCUACGGGUGGCUGCAGUGGGGAAUAUUGCACAAUGGGCGCAAGCCUGAUGCAGCGACGCCGCGUGAGCGAUGAAGGCCUUCGGGUCGUAAAGCUCUGUCCUAAGGGAAGAAUAAUGACGGUACCUUAGGAGGAAACCCCGGCUAACUACGUGCCAGCAGCCGCGGUAAUACGUAGGGGGCGAGCGUUAUCCGGAAUCACUGGGCGUAAAGGGUGCGUAGGCGGCCCUGUAAGUCAGGAGUUAAAUCCCUUGGCUCAACCGUGGUCAGCCCUUGAAACUGUAGGGCUUGAGUGCAGGAGAGGAGGGCGGAAUUCCUAGUGUAGUGGUGAAAUGCGUAGAUCUUAGGAGGAACGCCAGUGGCGAAGGCGGCUCUCUGGACUGGAACUGACGCUGAGGAACGAAAGCGUGGGGGGCGAGCAGGAUUAGAUACCCUUGUAGUC
rnacentral:rRNA from 1 species